UGAGAUUUUGGUGUACCCAUCACUUGAA
rnacentral:piRNA from 1 species